rnacentral:rRNA from 1 species
UACAGAGGUCUCAAGCGUUGUUCGGAUUCAUUGGGCGUAAAGGGUGCGUAGGCGGCGCGGUAAGUCGGGUGUGAAAUCUCGGAGCUUAACUCCGAAAACUGCAUUCGAUACUGCCGUGCUUGAGGACUGGAGAGGAGACUGGAAUUUACGGUGUAGCGGUGAAAAUGCGUAGAUAUCGUAAGGAAGACCAGUGGCGAAAGGCGGGGUCUCUGGACAGUUCCU